AUAACUAAAUGUGAACUUUUCAGCAAUUGACUCCAAUAUUUCAAUCUUUUUUGUAAAUUUGACAUUUUCGUCCAUUAGAGAUUUUUUAAAUUUCAAAAAAAAAAUCUUCAUCUAAUAUUUUCUUUUCUUUCAACAUAUCAUCUUUUUCCUUCAAAAUUUUAUUCUUUUCUUCAGAUAAAGAUAUAUUUAAACUUUUAAGCUUCUUAUUUUUCAGUCUUAACUUUUUAUAUUCAUCCAUU
rnacentral:lncRNA from 1 species